UACAGAGGUCUCAAGCGUUGUUCGGAUUCAUUGGGCGUAAAGGGUGCGUAGGCGGCGCGGUAAGUCGGGUGUGAAAUCUCGGGGCUUAACUCCGAAACUGCAUUCGAUACUGCCGUGCUUGAGGACUGGAGAGGAGACUGGAAUUUACGGUGUAGCGGUGAAAUGCGUAGAUAUCGUAAGGAAGACCAGUGGCGAAGGCGGGUCUCGUGGACAGUUCUGACGCUGAGGCACGAAGGUCAGGGGAGCAAACGGG
rnacentral:rRNA from 1 species